GCCAGGCAUGGUGGCACGUGCUUAUAAUCCCAGCUACUCAGGAGGCUGAGGCAGGAGGACUGCAAGUUAGAGGCCCACCUGGGCAAUUUAGCAAGACCCUGUCUCAA
rnacentral:sRNA from 1 species